GCAGCAGCCGCGGUAAUACGAAGGUGGCGAGCGUUGUUCGGAAUCACUGGGCUUAAAGCGCAUGUAGGCGGCCCUUCAAGCGUCUUGUGAAAUCCCUCGGCUCAACCGGGGAAUGGCUGGGCGAACUGUAGGGCUUGAGGCAAGUAGGGGUGCGUGGAACUCUUGGUGGAGCGGUGAAAUGCGUAGAUAUCAAGAGGAACGCCGGCGGCGAAAGCGGCGCACUGGGCUUGUCCUGACGCUGAGAUGCGAAAGCUAGGGGAGCAAACGGGAUUAGAUACCCCGGUAGUCCUAGCCGUAAACGAUGCCUACUAGGUUGGAGUCUCUCUGACGGGAUUCCGGUCGGAACGAAAGCGUUAAGUAGGCCGCCUGGGGAGUACGGUCGCAAGGCUAAAACUCAAAGGAAUUGACGGGGGCCCGCACAAGU
rnacentral:rRNA from 1 species